rnacentral:tRNA from 1 species
GGGCCGAUGGUGGAACGGGAAUACACGGCGUUCUCAAAAAACGCUGCUUCGGCGUGGGAGUUCGAAUCUCCCUCGGCCCACCA